UGGUGAUCCGAGGAGCACAUGACCAUGCAUAGGAGCUAAAAACACAAUUUUGGUAUAAUUUGUAGCUUUGAAGGUAUGCAUCAAUAUACGAAAUAGCGUGCUAUAUAGUGCCGCUGCGGUUGGGCGAUCAUGCCCCCUGGAUAAGGCACUUUACAGCGCUAUUGCUGCUAUGGCAGCUAAAGCGGGAAUUAGCGGCGCUAAACUGCUUAGCGACUGACGUCAUUUAGCACCGCUACGCUGAAUCUGCUAUCUCUCCACCAUGCUUGCGGCCACCCGAGGUCCUCUCUAGUCGCCAGCUCUGCUCAUGCCACCCACCUCUGAUCCUGUGCGUCAUCGUUGUCUAAUGCGUGGCCAUAGCUCACAGAACCUUGGGUUGGUCUGCUGCAGCAAGCAAGUGCUCAAAGUCUCAAACCAUUGGAGGUCCCUCUGGUGUUGGUACAGGUACAUGCCGGCAGUAGGAGAACGCGAGGUGGGGAGGGAGCAGCAGGCCGGCAGCAGGAGAGCGCGAGCUGGGGAGGGAGCAGCGGCCGGGAAGCGCGAGGCUGUGGAGUGAGGAAGGAGCAGCGGUAGCCAGAAUGGAUGGGAGCCGCCGGCAGGAAGCGCCAUGGGAUUAGGAUAAGGCAGGUAGGCAGGGAGGAAGGGGAUGUGGACGUGGGGAAGUUCACGUGGGCUUGCACAUCUCAGUCAGCAGGGGAGGAUUUUGGGCCAUCUAUUUCUCAUUUGGGCCUUCGUAUUUGUUGUAGUAGUUAACUUUUUUCCUUUUCUUAAUUAGUCUGCUAAUUGGAUUAGUGGAUGCUAAAGCGCGCUCUAGCAGCUCUUAGUGUUAUCAGCACCUCCGCUACCUAUCAUAGCCCGCAAUUUCGUACAUUGGUACAUGCAUACAACUUAUUCUCACUCAAUUUGUAAUCUUGUUUGUCGAAUCUGCUUACAGGAGCUUGCUGUUCUUUUUCAGGACUAUUUUCAUGGUUUGGCUAUUUGUUAUAACUUAUUUACAUAAUAAUAAGAACGUACUCUUCUUUAGUAAUGUGAGAGUUUUCGUCAGUUAAAUAUCUGCCUCAUUAUAGAAGGGGUUAAAGUGAAGGCAACAUGGUUAUUCUGGCAAUCGUUCAGAUCAAUCAAUUCAUCCCCGUAUGAUUCUCAGAAUUUGACUUAUUCUCGUUCUGUGUGAUCUAAUUCAGAUGCCCAUUAUAUACUCUGAACUCUCAUUCUGAACCGUUUAGAAAAAAAUGUUGACAUGAUGUACACUAUAGCUUGCCAAGACAUUUUCGUUCUUUUCUUCCCGAUUCUUGCACGGAGCCAUGGAGUUUACAUUUUUUUGUAUUGCAGGAUUUUAUUUAGGGAGAAGAGGAAGAAGGUGAAGAUGAGAUUUACUAGAAGGUGAGCUUGAAGAUGAUCGAUGGAUGCAAGGCGCGGCGAUAGGGAGAAGGAGAAGGAGCAGGCUGAUGUCGGCAUGUCUGUCUCCGUCAACGGUGAUUGGUUUUUUCCUCCCUAUAUAAUUGUUUUAAUGUUCUAUCUAUCUGUCACUCCUUCAACGCUACAUGUGGGCGGGUUGGCUUGCGCUGCCAGUUGUGAACUCCUUCCGUGACAUGGAACCCAAGAUGGUGAGUGCAACGCAUUGGAGAAGCAUGAGGAUGUCCUGUUACCUCAUCAAGGUUUGCAUACUGCAUCUCGAUUUGCUCUAGAUUUACUAUGAUCACUAGGCAAAUUGGUGGUUGUGGUAACCUAAGGAGCUACAAUGAGAAGAAAUUUGGCCAGCCCUGGCAAACGUCGGCGUUGAACUGGAUCAUCAAGUCCCUGGACGUGUUUCGACUUAAAGUAGAUGCUUGGUUGGCUUAUCACACCCAGGGCACAUACAGAGAUGUCAUUGGAAUUCUCCUCAAGCUGAAGAGACUCACAAAUCGGCAUCCGUCAUGUUACUCUUCGGCGUGCUGGAUGGCCACAGGCAACUGGGACAGUGGAGCAGGACGCCAUGCUGAACUGUAUAUACGUGUUUAGAUGUGUGACGAGGAGUGGAGCAUGUUCCAGAUGUGCAAAGAUGAGCAGGCAUCAAGUGGAUGAACAAGUCAGAAGUAAGCUGGCUGCAUUGGAGGUGGGCCAUCAAAAUGAAAUUUAGAGAACAGUUUCUGUAUUCACUCGACUUCAGAAAUAUGUGAAAUCAAGAAAAGAGAUAGACAGAAGACUAGAUGUGCACUUCCAGAGAAGAAUGUAUGUACCUUUGUAAAUGUCUCUUGCAUUUCUUGAAGUAUGCAAUUGUACUGUAUUCCUCAUAGUCAGGUCAUGUGUAUUACUUAUAAGGACAAGUGCCAUUUGUUUUUUCAAGUACACUAUAUGCUACUCC